AUGGGGGUAACCGAAAACCCAAAUAUUAGAGUAGGUA
rfam:Aquimarina spongiae strain DSM 22623 genome assembly, contig: Ga0070582_102